rnacentral:rRNA from 1 species
UAAGGAAUAUUGGUCAAUGGACGAAAGUCUGAACCAGCCAUGCCGCGUGGAGGAUGAAGGUCCUCUGGAUUGUAAACUUCUUUUAUCUGGGAAGAAAAAAGGGAAUUCUUUCCCGUCUGACGGUACCAGAUGAAUAAGCACCGGCUAACUCCGUGCCAGCAGCCGCGGUAAUACGGAGGGUGCAAGCGUUAUCCGGAUUCACUGGGUUUAAAGGGUGCGUAGGUGGAUUGCCAAGUCCGUGGUGAAAUCU